rnacentral:rRNA from 1 species
GUGGGGAAUAUUGCGCAAUGGGCGAAAGCCUGACGCAGCUACGCCGCGUGGGUGAUGAAGGCCUUCGGGUUGUAAAGCCCUGUCGGGAGGGACGAAGUUCUGACGGUACCUCCCAAGAAAGCACCGGCUAACUCCGUGCCAGCAGCCGCGGUAAUACGGAGGGUGCAAGCGUUGCUCGGAAUCAUUGGGCGUAAAGCGUACGCAGGCUGUUCGUUAAGUCGGGUGUGAAAGCCCGGGGCUCAACCCCGGAACUGCGCCCGAAACUGGCGAGCUUGAGUGCGGGAGAGGGAAGCGGAAUUCCUGGUGUAGAGGUGAAAUUCGUAGAUAUCAGGAGGAACACCGGUGGCGAAAGCGGCUUCCUGGCCCGACACUGACGCUCAUGUACGAAAGCGUGGGGAGCAAACAGGAUUAGAAACCCUUGUAGUCC